rnacentral:rRNA from 1 species
AUUGAACGCUGGCGGCAUGCCUUACACAUGCGAGUCGAACGGCAGCACGGGAGCAAUCCUGGUGGCGAGUGGCGAACGGGUGAGUAAUAUAUCGGAACGUGCCCAGUCGUGGGGAUAACGUAGCGAAAGCUACGCUAAUACCGCAUACGAUCUAUGGAUGAAAGCGGGGGAUCGCAAGACCUCGCGCGAUUGGAGCGGCCGAUAUCAGAUUAGGUAGUUGGUGAGGUAAAGGCUCACCAAGCCGACGAUCUGUAGCUGGUCUGAGAGGACGACCAGCCACACUGGGACUGAGACACGGCCCAGACUCCUACGGGA